UUAUUGGAGAGUUUGAUCCUGGCUCAGGACGAACGCUGGCGGCGUGCCUAAUACAUGCAAGUCGAGCGAAUCUGAGGGAGCUUGCUCCCGAAGAUUAGCGGCGGACGGGUGAGUAACACGUGGGUAACCUGCCUGUAAGAUUGGGAUAACUCCGGGAAACCGGAGCUAAUACCGGAUAAUAUUUCGAACCGCAUGGUUCGAAGUUGAAAGGUGGCUUUUGCUACCACUUACAGAUGGACCCGCGGCGCAUUAGCUAGUUGGUGAGGUAACGGCUCACCAAGGCGACGAUGCGUAGCCGACCUGAGAGGGUGAUCGGCCACACUGGGACUGAGACACGGCCCAGACUCCUACGGGAGGCAGCAGUAGGGAAUCUUCCGCAAUGGACGAAAGUCUGACGGAGCAACGCCGCGUGAGCGAAGAAGGCCUUCGGGUCGUAAAGCUCUGUUGUUAGGGAAGAACAAGU
rnacentral:ncRNA from 1 species